rnacentral:rRNA from 1 species
GACAGAGGGGGCAAGCGUUGCUCGGAAUUAUUGGGCGUAAAGAGCUCGUAGGCGGUUUGUUGCGUCGGCUGUGAAAUCCCGAGGCUCAACCUCGGGUCUGCAGUCGAUACGAGCAAACUAGAGUGUUGCAGGGGAGACUGGAAUUCCUGGUGUAGCGGUGAAAUGCGCAGAUAUCAGGAGGAACACCGGUGGCGAAGGCGGGGUCUCUGGGCAACAACUGACGCUGGAGGAGCGAAAGCGUGGGGAGCGAACAGG